rnacentral:rRNA from 1 species
AUGUCCCAAUCCAUUGCUUCAAAGAAGGGACAAAUUUUUUUAUCACAGGAAUUUCACCAAACACUUGCCAGGCGUGGUGACCCCGUACUAGCGGAUGGUACCUUCAUGACAAGUGGACGAGAGGUGUGGACGGCGGACGAGAGGUGUGGACUGGCGGUGGAGGACAAGCGGCGUGGCGACCGGGUGGAGCGGUGGAGGUCGCGGAGGUCUGGGAAGGGCUUGGCGGCCGGCCGAGGUGGUAGAGCGGCGGCGGCGGCGCGGGAGGAAGCGGAUGUAGAGAAAGAGGAAAGGAUGGAGAUGCGGGGUCCGGGCGGGGUUUUGGGUGGGCCGGGGGUUCCGGAGUCCUACGUGGCGAUGGUCCGGACGUAG